UAUGCAGGGAGUAGACAACAGGGAUUGCCCUAGUAACGGCGAGUGAAGCGGCAACAGCUCAAAUUUGAAAUCUGGCGUCUUUGGCGUCCGAGUUGUAAUUUGCAGAGGGCGCUUUGGCAUCGGCAGCGGUCCAAGUUCCUUGGAACAGGACGUCACAGAGGGUGAGAAUCCCGUACGUGAUCGCUAGCCUUUACCGUGUAAAGCCCCUUCGACGAGUCGAGUUGUUUGGGAAUGCAGCUCUAAAUGGGAGGUAAAUUUCUUCUAAAGCUAAAUACUGGCCAGAGACCGAUAGCGCACAAGUAGAGUGAUCGAAAGAUGAAAAGCACUUUGGAAAGAGAGUUAAAAAGCACGUGAAAUUGUUGAAAGGGAAGCGCUUGCAGCCAGACUUGCCUGUAGUUGCUCAUCCGGGUUUCUACCCGGUGCACUCUUCUAUAGGCAGGCCAGCAUCAGUUUGGGCGGUUGGAUAAAGGUCUCUGUCAUGUACCUCUCUUCGGGGAGAACUUAUAGGGGAGACGACAUGCAACCAGCCCGGACUGAGGUCCGCGCAUCUGCUAGGAUGCUGGCGUAAUGGCUGUAAGCGGCCCGUCUUGAAACACGGACCAAGGAGUCUAACAUCUAUGCGAGUGUUUGGGUGUCAAGCCCGAACGCGUAAUGAAAGUGAACGGAGGUGGGAACCUUUCGGGGUGCACCAUCGACCGAUCCUGAUGUCUUCGGAUGGAUUUGAGUAAGAGCAUAGCUGUUGGGACCCGAAAGAUGGUGAACUAUGCUUGAAUAGGGUGAAGCCAGAGGAAACUCUGGUGGAGCUCGCAGCGGUUCUGACGUGCAAAUCGAUCGUCAAAUUUGGGCAUAGGGGCGAAAGACUAAUCGAACUAUCUAGUAGCUGGUUCCUGCCGAAGUUUCCCUCAGAUAGCAGUAACGUUUUCAGUUUUAUGAGUAAAGCGAAUGAUAGAGGCCUGGGGGUUGAAACAACUUCACCUAUCUCAACUUUAAAUAUGUAGAGUCCUGUACUGAUGACGUGACGUGAUGUAUCGUACUAGUGGGCAUUUUGUUAGCAGACUGCGAUGCCGAAUGAACGAGCGGGUAGUGCAGAUUACGCUCAUCGACCCACAAAUGGUAGUCACUGACGCAGACGUGCAUGAUCGAUCGCUAGAUGGUACACUCACUUCGAAUGA
rnacentral:rRNA from 1 species